rnacentral:rRNA from 1 species
CUACAAUGGCGUAACAAAGGGAAGCGAACCCGUGAGGGGGAGGCAAAUCCCAAAAAUAAACGUCCCAGUUCGGACUGUAGUCUGCAACCCGACUACACGAAGCUGGAAUCGCUAGUAAUCGCGAAUCAGAAUGUCGCGGUGAAUACGUUCCCGGGUCUUGUACACACCGCCCGUCACACCAUGGGAGUUGGAAAUGCCCGAAGUCAGUGACCCAACCGCAAGGAGGGAGCUGCCGAAGGCAGGUCCGGUAACUGGGGUGAAGUCGUAACAAGGUAAC